UCCUCCCUCUGUCGGCGUGCUUAACACAUGCAAGUCGAACGGAAAGGCCCUGCUUUUGUGGGGUGCUCGAGUGGCGAACGGGUGAGUAACACGUGAGUAACCUGCCCUUGACUUUGGGAUAACUUCAGGAAAAUGGGGCUCAUACCGGAUAGGAGCUCCUGCUGCAUGGUGGGGGUUGGAAAGUUUCGGCGGUUGGGGAUGGACUCGCGGCUUAUCAGCUUGUUGGUGGGGUAGUGGCUUACCAAGGCUGUGACGGGUAGCCGGCCUGGGAGGGUGACCGGCCACAUUGGGACUGAGGUACGGCCCAGACUCCUACGGGAGGCAGCAGGGGGGAAUAUUGCACAAUGGGCGGAAGCCUGAUGCAGCAACGCCGCGUGCGGGAUGACGUCCUUCGGGUUGUAAACCGCUGUCGCCUGUGACGAAGCGUGAGUGACGGUAAUGGGUAAAGAAGCACCGGCUAACUACGUG
rnacentral:rRNA from 1 species